ACUUAAAUUUUUAUCAGUGGUCCGUCCUUCACUCAACUGAUAACGACGGACUUUUUACAGCAUCAACAUGAAGGUAUUGUUAGUUUUUGGACUAUGGCUAGUGUCGGCGCACACCAGCACGGCCCAGGUGUGUACAUUCGACGCAUCCGCAACAGUCGCCCCGAACGAUCCUCGCCUUCCACAAGCCCUGCCACCGUCCUUUCAAGUCACCAUCGAGGGCGCUCUCAUUGAUAGGAACAUGAGCGUGGUUGCGGAGGAAUAUUUCGAUCAAGAUUCACAGCGAUCCGCCAUGAAACUCACACAGAACGGACAGAUUGAGUACAUGUACAUAAACAUGAACACGAAUGAGAGCUACCAUGUCCUUAACAAUAACUGCACCGUCAUGAACCAAGCUACGGACAUGGAUGAUGUAUUUAUCGGUGGUAAAAUGCCUGGCAACAGCAACAUGACCCACACCUAUUCAACAAGUUAUAUCCUGAAGUUUGCUCAAAAGUACGGGGAGGUUUACAAGGGGCAGACAUCGGUUAGAGGUGUCCUGUGUGAUCAUUGGCAGUCGUGCAUGUACUGGGGCUUUCUCGGCGUCAACUUCACCGUCGACUACUACUUCUCAGUCUCCACGUGGACAAGUGCAGACGGAACAAUGCAGAUUCCUGUGAGAGCUGAGGUCCAAGGCUACAACUCCAUUGUUGGCCCGGGUGCAAUGUCAAGCUUCCAUCAUAUUUAUGAUUAUAUUGGUUUUAAAAGCUACAUUGUGGACCCGACAAAUCUAGAGACUCCAAAAGGCGUUGCAUGUGCCGGUCGGAAACACACCCGAGCGAUGCCGAAGCUGAAGACACACUACCAGUACAGGGAGGAGAUAAUAGACCAGGAUAUGAACAUGGUCGUAAAUGCCGAUGUGUAUUACGACUACAACAACAAACUCCUCCGUUUCGACAACCGUCCUAACGUAAUCAGCUACCCUUACUACAGCUACGACGCCGUCACGGAAAUACACGAUUAUAACACAGGGGUUGCCUACGUUAUUGACAAGUCCUUCCUCAACUGCUCUGUUGUUCCAAUUGAGAACGGAACGUGGGACGCAACAGUCAAUGUCUCCCGCUUGCAUCAAGCCAUCGGGAUGAAGUCUCCAGAACAGCUCUUUGACUUAGAUCCUACAUUUGCCUACUCUGGACAGCGGACAGCUCGUGGGAUCUUGUGUGACGUCUUUACUAAUGUCCGUACGGACUUCGCUGACGCUGGACUUCUAGGCAUGCCUGUAACCUUCGAAGUGUAUUUCAUGUCGAAUGACUGGAUUAGCGACAACGACGUCGGCAACAACCAGGACAGCGUGGACACUCCAGUACGGCUUGAAAUUUCGGCAGAUGACUAUUUUCUGUCGUAUGAUUUCUACAAUUUUGAUCAAGAAAACCCAGUGUUGAGUCGCUUUGACAUUUCGCCAUGCUACACCGACCAAGAUGAGAUUAACUUCGAGAUAACAUUCCCAGGGAACUAUGUUGACUUCUUACUCAACUACAAGACUAUUCUGGAAGAUCUUGUGAUUGUGAGCAUCGCCAAGACGGGAGGUCUAUCACCUAUCCGAAUACAACGUGUGGACAUGCACUGGGACAAACAGAACGCCUACUUCGUCGGAACAAUCCUUGACAUGGCCCCCGUUCUGGCCAGGUACCGGCGUUGGCCGAAUAUGGUGGCACACUUCGCAGACAGCCUUCGUGCAACAAACGUGGGCGACGCCCUCGGUUGUGCGGAUGCGUGCAACGACCAGGAAUUUACUUGCAACAGCUUCGACCUCUGCCCAGCUGCAAGAACAUGCGCCAUGAGUAUGAAUUACACAUCGGUUGGAAAGGUUCUUCAAACCAGUGAGACCUGUGAUCACUUUUCGCGUGUGCUGACCGGAGCAGCUGUCCAUGAGACACCGUUAAUAAGGGCGUACAGACUUAUAAGUACCGCAGUCACUUCAGGGAAGUUUGUUAUCCCAGUGCAGCUUCCCACUGUUGGCAUCGAGCCACGCCUCGACCAGCCGUCACACAAAACACAACCCCUGGACAGCAGACACCACAGCCAACCUCUGCACAAAAGACACCACAGCCAACCUCUGCACAAAAGACAACACAGCCAACCUCUGCACAAAAGACACCACAGCCAACCUCUGCACAAAAGACAACACAGCCAACCUCUGCACAAAAGACACCACAGCCAACCUCUGCACAAAAGACACCACAGCCAAACCCUGGACACCAGACACCACAGCCAAACCCUGGACACCAGACACCACAGCCAAACCCUGGACACCAGACACCACAGCCAAACCCUGGACACCAGACACCGAAUCAAGUAAAGAACCCGACGACACCAGUCAGUUGUACCAACGUCGCAUCCCAACAAAAGUCGUCGAACAACGCAGGGGCAUUCGUGGGAGUUGCUUUAGUCAUGUUGGUUGUGGGCGGCAUCAUCGGUGUCGCAGUCAUGAUGUUUCUCCAGCGACGGCAG
rnacentral:misc_RNA from 1 species